CUGGUGCCUCAUUUUAAAAUUAGCCAUCUCAGCUGUGAAAGGGUUAGGGAGACUACAGAGACAGGGGAGACUGCAGUGGGAGGAGCAAGGGGAAUUCCUGCUCUCUGGGAAGGGCCUGGUGAAGACAGGCUGGAGAGGACUACAGGGAGCAAGUUAGGCUCCUGUGGGAGGCCUGGAGAGAAACCUGUGAGAAGCUCUAAGGAGGGGAGGCAGUGAGAAAACCUGCUAGGAAGAAGGGCCUCCAGGGAAAAAGCCCUGGGAGGCAGCGCUCAGUCAAAGGAUAAAAGAAGGAAAUCUGCAGUCCCCAGGAGAAUGGGUGAAGAGCAGGGAAUUUUAGAAUAGUCUGAGAGGGGCAAAGGAUCUUCUGUUUGGAAGGAGACUGUCCUGAAAGGUGACCCAGCUGGAGGACUGGGCCACAGAAGAGGUAGACAGAGACAGCCCAUCUCUGGACCAAAGAAGUGGUCGAGAGGAGGUGCUAGAGGUGAAGACCUCUGCAGUGUCAUGCUGUGAAGAAGGAACCACUUAUGGUACUGAACUGCCCACAUAUACACUUACAUUGAAAUAGCCAAAGGCACAAGAGGGCCCAACUAAUGUUGCACAGUAUGUUGGAGUGUACCUGGUCUUUGCAGCUCCCUACAGUGGGCCUACUACACUCCAUCCCAGGAAGCAGAGAUGUGGGAGGAAAGGAGCAGCGAAGGAAGGGGUUCAUUUUGAACUGUGUGGCCUGGCUGAAGGGCCGAACCACAGAAGACCAGCACGGGCAGGCAGAUGGGUCACAGUGGGUGGCAGGAGUGGGAAAAGGGAUGCAAUACCACACCUAGUCACAAGAAGAUGCUCAAGAGGUGGGUAGAAGUGGCUGGAGCCAAGGGUGACACCUCAACGUUUCCAGCAGUGGAGCUGUACUGGCAUCUCGAGGUGUGCACAGCGUGGUUAUGAGACUUGUGGAAUUUCCACCACUCGUGAGUCGUUAUGAAAAAACUUGAAAGCUCUAAAAGACACUGCUCUUUGAAGACAGGUUAACUUUCAACAUUCAAUAGUUGACUUCUAUUGGAGCAGAGUUAGAUCAAAUCCUGAAGGCUUUUGAAAAUGUCACCCUUAUAUGUUUGGUCUCCCAGUGUGCUAUUUUUUCCUAAUUUAAAGGAGAAGUUUUAAUUAAAUUUAAACUAAUAAAAAAACAGCCAGAAAAUCCUGGUGGAAAAGGUAAUUUUGGUAGUAGAAAUGCAGUGUAAUUAAGCAAAUUUGUCUCUAGUCAAUUUUAAGGACUCAUGGUGUGAAACAAUGUUAUGUAACAAAAAAGCCUAAAUAAUAAAAUCAGGAAAGUUUAUUAUUUAUAUCUAUAUUUUAUAUCUUCCUAUAGGUCCCAACCAGGAUCAGGGACCCAUUAUGUUAGGCACUGUAAAAGCCUGGAGCCAGAAACAGUCCCAGCAGCUCUCCCUGUUGACAUAAGAUAUAAAAUCCAACUUUAUUAUAGAGAGUUAAUGCAUGACACUUCCUGCAGUCCUAUUUCAAAUGCAUACUGUGGUUAAUAUAUAUGAAAAUAAUUUGUUUUAUAGAAGUAAAACUUCAUAUAAAUUAAGUAGAUAAUUAGUAAUCCAAUUUGUACAGUGUAAUAUGCAUCAUGAAAUUAAACCAUUAAACAGAUUUUGUAC